rnacentral:rRNA from 1 species
CGCGUAAAGAACUUGCCUCUUAGACCGGGACAACAUCUGGAAACGGAUGCUAAUACCGGAUAUUAUGGUUUUUUCGCAUGGAGGAAUCAUGAAAGCUAGAUGCGCUAAGAGAGAGCUUUGCGUCCCAUUAGCUAGUUGGUGAGGUAACGGCCCACCAAGGCAAUGAUGGGUAGCCGGCCUGAGAGGGUGAACGGCCACAAGGGGACUGAGACACGGCCCUUACUCCUACGGGAGGCAGCAGUGGGGAAUAUUGGACAAUGGACCACAAGUCUGAUCCAAUUCUGUGUCGACGUUUUUCGGAAAAUGUUGGAAAAUCAGUGACGGUACCGACAAAAGCGAGGCUAAAUAGUGCCAGCCCGGUAAUAGUUCGCAAGCGUUAUCCGGAUUUAUUGGGCGUAAAGCGCGUUAGGCGGCAGAAUUGAUGUGAAAAUGCGGAGCUCAACUCCGUAUGGCGUUGGAAACUGCCUUACUAGAGUACUGGAGAGGUAGGCGGAACUACAAGUUAGAGGAAUUCGUAGAUAUUUGUAGGAAUGCCGAUGGGGAAGCCAGCCUACUGGACAGAUACUGACGCUAAAGCGCGAAAGCGUGGGUAGCAAACAGGAUUAGAUACCCUGGUAGUCCACGCUGUAAACGAUGAUUACUAGGUGUUGGGGGUCAAACCUCGCGCCCAAGCUAACGCGAUAAGUAAUCCGCCUGGGGAGUACGUACGCAAGUUGAAACUCAAAGGAAUUGACGGGGCCCGCAAGCGGGAGCAUGUGUUUAAUUCGACGCAACGGAGGAACUUACCAGCGUUUGACAUCAAGGAAAGCCGGCCUUCGGGGGAAGAGGGGCAUGGUUCGUCAGCUCUGUCGUGAAUUUGGGUUAAGUCCCCAAGCAACCCCUUUUCCUCCUUGUUGGGGAUGCCUGCGACGAGCAGGAGGAAGGUGGGGAUGACGUCAAGUCAUCAUGCCCCUUAUACGCUGGGCUACACACGUGCUACAAUGGGUAGUACAGAGAGCGGCAAACCCGCGAGGGGGAGCAAAUCUCAGAAAACUAUUCUUAGUUCGGAUUGUACUCUGCAACUCGAGUACAUGAAGUUGGAAUCGCUAGUAAUCGCAAAUCAGCAAUGUUGCGGUGAAUACGUUCUCGGGUCUUGUACACACCGCCCGUCACACCACGAGAGUUGGUUGC